GAUGAACGCUGGCGGCGUGCCUAAUACAUGCAAGUCGAGCGAACAGACGAGGAGCUUGCUCCUCUGACGUUAGCGGCGGACGGGUGAGUAACACGUGGGUAACCUACCUAUAAGACUGGGAUAACUCCGGGAAACCGGGGCUAAUACCGGAUAACACAUGAAACCGCAUGGUUUCAUGAUGAAAGACGGUUUUGCUGUCACUUAUAGAUGGACCCGCGGCGUAUUAGCUAGUUGGUAAGGUAACGGCUUACCAAGGCAACGAUACGUAGCCGACCUGAGAGGGUGAUCGGCCACACUGGAACUGAGACACGGUCCAGACUCCUACGGGAGGCAGCAGUAGGGAAUCUUCCGCAAUGGGCGAAAGCCUGACGGAGCAACGCCGCGUGAGUGAUGAAGGUCUUCGGAUCGUAAAACUCUGUUAUUAGGGAAGAACAAGGAUGUAAGUAACUAUGCAUCCCUUGACGGUACCUAAUCAGAAAGCCACGGCUAACUACGUGCCAGCAGCCGCGGUAAUACGUAGGUGGCAAGCGUUAUCCGGAAUUAUUGGGCGUAAAGCGCGCGUAGGCGGUUUUUUAAGUCUGAUGUGAAAGCCCACGGCUCAACCGUGGAGGGUCAUUGGAAACUGGAAAACUUGAGUGCAGAAGAGGAAAGUGGAAUUCCAUGUGUAGCGGUGAAAUGCGCAGAGAUAUGGAGGAACACCAGUGGCGAAGGCGACUUUCUGGUCUGCAACUGACGCUGAUGUGCGAAAGCGUGGGGAUCAAACAGGAUUAGAUACCCUGGUAGUCCACGCCGUAAACGAUGAGUGCUAAGUGUUAGGGGGUUUCCGCCCCUUAGUGCUGCAGCUAACGCAUUAAGCACUCCGCCUGGGGAGUACGGCCGCAAGGCUGAAACUCAAAGGAAUUGACGGGGACCCGCACAAGCGGUGGAGCAUGUGGUUUAAUU
rnacentral:rRNA from 1 species